rnacentral:rRNA from 1 species
AGCAGCCGCGGUAAUUCCAGNUCCAAUAGCGUAUAUUAAAGUUGUUGACNGUUAAAAGCUCGUAGUUGAAUUUCGGGGUCAGCAGGUUGGUCGUGCCACUGGUAUGCACUGGCUUCGCUGAUUCCUCCUUUCUGAAGAACUAUAAUGUCAUUAAUUUGGUGUUGCAGGGAAACAGGACUGUUACUUUGAAAAAAUUAGAGUGUUUAAAGCAGGCUAACGCUUGAAUACAUUAGCAUGGAAUAAUGAAAUAGGACGUUCGAUCCUAUUUUAGUUGGUUUCUAGGGAUUGACGUAAUGAUUAAUAGGGAUAGUUGGGGGCAUUAGUAUUCAAUUGUCAGAGGUGAAAUUCUUGGAUUUAUUGAAGACUAACUACUGCGAAAGCAUUUGCCAAGGAUGUUUUCAUUAAUCAAGAACGAAAGUUAGGGGAUCGAAGACGAUCAGAUACCGUCGUAGUCUUAACCAUAAACUAUGCCGACUAGGGAUCGGGAUGAUGUUAAUUUUUUAAUGACUCAUUCGGCGCCUUACG